rnacentral:rRNA from 1 species
GUAGGGAAUCUUCCACAAUGGGCGCAAGCCUGAUGGAGCAACACCGCGUGAGUGAAGAAGGGUUUCGGCUCGUAAAGCUCUGUUGUUAAAGAAGAACACGUAUGAGAGUAACUGUUCAUACGUUGACGGUAUUUAACCAGAAAGUCACGGCUAACUACGUGCCAGCAGCCGCGGUAAUACGUAGGUGGCAAGCGUUAUCCGGAUUUAUUGGGCGUAAAGAGAGUGCAGGCGGUUUUCUAAGUCUGAUGUGAAAGCCUUCGGCUUUACCGGAGAAGUGCAUCGGAAACUGGAUAACUUGAGUGCAGAAGAGGGUAGUGGAACUCCAUGUGUAGCGGUGGAAUGCGUAGAUAUAUGGAAGAACACCAGUGGCGAAGGCGGCUACCUGGUCUGCAACUGACGCUGAGACUCGAAAGCAUGGGUAGCGAACAGGAUUAGAAACCCUGGUAGUCC